CACAGAGUUAGCCGUGGCUUCCUCCACCGGUACAGUCAACACUUUGACGUAUUAGGUCAGGUGCAUUCUUCCCGGUCGACAGGAGUUUACGACCCGAAGGCCUUCAUCCUCCACGCGGCGUUGCUUCGUCAGGGUUUCCCCCAUUGCGAAAAAUUCCCCACUGCUGCCUCCCGUAGGAGUCUGGGCCGUGUCUCAGUCCCAGUGUGGCCGUCCGCCCUCUCAGGCCGGCUACCGAUCCGGAGCCUAGGUGGGCCGUUACCCCGCCUACUAGCUAAUCGGACGCGGGCUCAUCUUCAAGCGCCAGGCCUUGCGGUCCCCGGCUUUGAUCCCCGGAUUGAACCUAAGGAUGUCAUGCGGUAUUAGCAGCAGUUUCCCGCUGUUAUUCCCCACUCGAAGGUAGAUCACCCACGCGUUACUCACCCGUUCGCCGCUCUACUUGGGGGUUGCCCCCUUUCGCGCUCGACUUGCAUGUGUUAGGCACGCCGCCAGCGUUGAUUCUGAGCAGGAUCAAAACUCU
rnacentral:rRNA from 1 species